CCUACGGGAGGCAGCAGUGAGGAAUAUUGGUCAAUGGACGCAAGUCUGAACCAGCCAUGCCGCGUGCAGGAAGACGGCUCUAUGAGUUGUAAACUGCUUUUGUACGGGGGUAAACGCAGAUACGCGUAUCUUUCUGAAAGGUACGUACGAAUAAGGAACGGCUAACUCCGGUCCAGCCGCCGCGGGAAAUCGGAGGAUUCAGGCGUUAUCCGGAUUUAUUGGGGUUAAAGGGUGGGUAGGCGGGCUGAUCAGGUAGAGGUGAAAACCCGGGGCUUAACUUCGGAAUUGCCUGUGAUACUGGUCGGCUAGAGAGUAGUAGCGGUAGGCGGAAUGUAUGGUGUAGCGGUGAAAUGCUUAGAGAUCAUACAGAACACCGAUGGCGAAGGCAGCUUACCAGGCUACAACUGACGUUGAGGCACGAAAGCGUGGGGAGCAAACAGGAUUAGAUACCCUGGUAGUC
rnacentral:rRNA from 1 species